GACGAACGCUGGCGGCGUGCUUAACACAUGCAAGUCGAACGGAAAGGCCUGCUUUCCCUUGUGGAUUGCGGGUGCUCGAGUGGCGAACGGGUGAGUAACACGUGAGUGAUCUGCCCCCAACUUGGGUAUAAGCCUGGGAAACUGGGUCUAAUUCCCGAUAGGACUGCAGGGUGGUGCCUGUGGUGGAAAACGAUUUUCUAGUGGUUGGGGAUGAGCUCGCGGCCUAUCAGCUUGUUGGUGGGGUAAUGGCCUACCAAGGCGGCGACGGGUAGCCGGCCUGAGAGGGUGGACGGCCGCAUUGGGACUGAGAUACGGCCCAGACUCCUACGGGAGGCAGCAGUGGGGAAUAUUGCACAAUGGGCGGAAGCCUGAUGCAGCGACGCCGCGUGGGGGAUGACGGCCUUCGGGUUGUAAACUCCUUUCGACCGCGAGGAAGCCACCUGGUUGGAAGGGUGGUGACGGUAGUGGUAGAAGAAGCACCGGCUAACUACGUG
rnacentral:rRNA from 1 species